CAGUUCAGAUUGUAGGCUGAAACUCGCCUAUAUGAAGUCGGAAUUGCUAGUAAUCGCGGAUCAGCAUGCCGCGGUGAAUACGUUCCCGGGCCUUGUACACACCGCCCGUCACACCAUGAGAGUCGAUAACACCCGAAGCCUGUAGUCUAACAGCAAUGAGGACGCAGUCGAAGGUGGGAUUGAUAAUUAGGGUGAAGUCGUAACAAGGUAAC
rnacentral:rRNA from 1 species